rnacentral:rRNA from 1 species
GAUGAACGCUGGCGGCGUGCCUAACACAUGCAAGUCGAACGGAACUUUUAUGGAUUGAGACUUCGGUUGAUUGAAGUUUAAGUUUAGUGGCGGACGGGUGAGUAACGCGUGAGUAACCUGCCUUUCACAGGGGGAUAACGUUUGGAAACGAACGCUAAUACCGCAUAACAUAGCGAGACCGCAUGAUCUUGCUAUCAAAGAUUUUAUCGGUGAAAGAUGGACUCGCGUCCGAUUAGAUGGUUGGUGAGGUAACGGCCCACCAAGUCGACGAUCGGUAGCCGGACUGAGAGGUCGAACGGCCACAUUGGAACUGAGAAACGGUCCAGACUCCUACGGGAGCAGCAGUGGGGAAUAUUGGGCAAUGGGCGAAAGCCUGACCCAGCGACGCCGCGUGAGGGAAGAAGGUCUUCGGAUUGUAAACCUUAGUCAACAGGGAAGAAGCAAGUGACGGUACCUGUGGAGGAAGCCACGGCUAACUACGUG